rnacentral:misc_RNA from 1 species
GAGAAGGUCCAGGGACCGAAGGCCAUAUUGCAUUUCACUUUGGAGUCCCUUUGGAGUUUAUAUUCGGUUAUCGAAACUCUUAGACCCAAUACGAUAAACUUUUAAAGUAAAAAGCUUAACAAUGGACUCCUCAUUCUGGCAAACUACUCUUCCGAGUGUUAGAGAUCGUAGUUUUUACGCUUUGAAUAAUUCUUUGUUCUGUGACGUCGAAUUUUCUGUUGUAGACUCGAGCGGAGAUAAGGUAAACAUUCCUGUUCAUAAAUACGUAUUGGCUAUCAGUAGUCCAGUCUUCCAAGCCAUGUUUUAUGGACAGCUGGCUGAGACACGACAGGUUGUAGAUCUACCAGACUGCACCAAGGAAGGGCUGGAAGAACUGCUUCAUUAUGUCUAUACAGAUGAGGUAAACUUGACAGAGAGCAAUGUGAUGGAAGUGAUGCUACUUGCUGAUAAAUACAUGCUGCCAUUUCUUGUUGAGAGGUGUAAUCACUACCUUAGGGAAUCGCUUAAGCCAGAGGAUGUCUUCACCGUUCUUCCCCAAGUUCAGAACACUGCCAACAAGAAAGCCUUCUAUCUUUGUUGGGAUAUUAUCGACACCUAUACCCAACGAGCAGUCACUUCACAACCGUUUUUAAACAUUUCUCGUGAACUGCUUUGUGAAGUACUUGCUAGAGAAUGGCUGCAUAUUGAAGAGAUUGAUCUUUUUCAUGCUGCUGAUCGUUGGGCGUCGUUUCAAAUCAAGAAUAAGAAAAAUCCUAAAGCGGAACUAGUAGAAGGGGGUAGAAAACGAAAUGAACUGGGAGAGGAGGCGGUUCACCUUAUCAGAUUUCCAGUAAUGUCACAGAAGGAAUUUGCUUCUUAUGUCCUGCCUAGUGACAUUCUCAUUAAAAGCGAAAUCGUUGAAAUUAUGCAGGCUUUUAGCGGGAUUGAGGCAAGACAGGAAGUGUUCAAGUGUGAAAGAAGAAUAGGACAACACAAGGAAAGAUGGUCAGAGGUGAGGUUUUGUCAUGAUGAGAGCAGUCUACAGCCAAUGUCAUUUCGUACACGUAAGAUGUUCCUUGGUGAGACGAACAUCCAGGGUCCUAUUUGCAUCGAUUUACUGGUAAACAAACGUGUCUCUCUCGCUGGUGUCAGGUUAAUUGGAUUUCACAACCGUCAGUAUCAAGUAAACAUAGAAAUUUAUCGAGCCAAUGACCCAUAUACUAUCCUUUAUCAAAGCAUUGGCCACCAACAUUAUACGACUGGAGAAGAGUUGAUAGAUGGUUUAUAUCCUGGAUUUACAGUGAUGAUUCACCCCCCUGUGAAGUUGGAACCAGAUGUAUGUUACACUAUUGAUGCUGAUAUAAGAGGACCUCCUUAUCCUCAAUGUGGACGAGUUGGUAAGAAGACUAUAACUUGUGAUGACGUAAUAAUAACUCUCAUGAACUCCAGUCAUGGCAGUGAAAAUAUUGUCAAUAAGUUGCAGUUCCCUGCAUUCCUUUUAAAAUGGACUUGAAUUAUGCUGUGGGCAUACCAUUGUUGCAUUUGUUGCAUGCAGUAUUGAUGGUGACAGAUUUGGAGGGUGUAUAAGUAGCAAUUUGUUUGCAAAAAAGCUACGACUUUUAUAUCGAAGAAUACUUCAUACUGCACUAUAUCAAAAAGUCACACUGCCUUGUGAUAAUUUGGUGUGUUUACAUGAUCUUCUACACAGGAAAACCAUCUCAGAAAUAUUCUUACCUUGUGCAGCUUUUUACUACUCACUGCUUCUACUCAGAACCAGGAUCCCUUUCAUACAGUCCAACUUUAACUUUGGUUGAGCAGAAUUAAAGACAAGCUGCUCAAAGGCUAGGUCAAUCAGGCAACAAGAAAAACCUUGCCUUUCUUUAAAGUAGAUUUACGGUAUACAUUAGCUAACUUGAAAGACUUGAGAAGGCAGUGAUAGAUAUUAAUGAUUUUUUUUAUGGAAUGGAUAUUGUGUUUUUUUUUUUUCAUUUUGAAUUUUUACUGGCAUAGAUGCUACAACAAACUAAUAUUUUGAAAAUAUAUUCUUAAGAAAGUUCUUACAAAAUAAAUGUAUGAUUUCUGGUUAAUCUGAUCUCUACAACCUCUAUCUUAGAACCUCAAAUUUGCCACAAAAUUCAUUUCUUGGUGUUUGGAAAUUCCAAGAGAUUCUUUUGUUUGGAAAAAAAAUAUCACCUCUCAUGACCACUUCUUGCCCUCCUCUCUAUAAAAAUGUCAAUCAAUUCAUUGUCAUGGAUACCGCAUUAGAAAAUCUUGAAUUAUUUCCAUCAACUCUCUUGGUUUUUCUGCAUGAACCCAGUGUCCACAGUCAGGGAUGAAGGUGAUUUCUGCUUUGGGAAACAGCUUGUAGAUUAUAUCAUAAUCCUUUUCUCUGUGAAGAAUACAGAUAAUAACAUAUUAUAUCUCUGUAUAUCCUCAUCUGAGAUAGAAGGAGCUGGUGAACUAUCGACGACAAUGAUUUUCUCAACCAGUUCAGGAAACGACAAGGCCAUCGUCAUGGCAACCUUGCCUCCCAUACUGUGUCCAAUUAUUAUCACCUUAGGAAUGUCUAAUUUCUGAAUCAGAUGUUUUGCAUCCAGAGCCUGGACAAAGUAAUUCAUUUCAGGGUGGUGGUCGCUGUUACCAUGGUUUCUUGCAUCAAUAGCAACUAUCUAUAAGAAAUAAGAAUAAUUAUUGACUGAUAUGAGUAUAAAAAAACGUUUCCUGCCAUGCAAAUGUAUGUGGCAAUCAUCAUCUUAUUUAUACAGUGGAGACCUGUCAUUUCAAACCCCAAAUAUCUUUCUCAUCAUUUCAAACUUGAGGCUGUGUUCCAUUUAAUGAAUUACAUAAAACCCUAUUAUCUGGUGUCCAGGAGGUUAGAGAUAACAGGACACCACCAUACUAACAUGCAUACCUCUCUGGAUGUCUUCCGGUUCAAUGCUUUAGCAAUACUUCUCCAGUUCUUUUUAGCUCCAAAUAACCCAUGGCAAAUAAAUAAAGGUGGGUCUGGAUCUGUGUCCUUUCCUUCAACUCUCACAUAUGCUAAUCGCACUGGAGAACUAUUAUUAUGAAAAUAAAAUUAAAAACAGGGCUUAAAGAGAGGUCUUAACAUAGUGCUAGACUUUACCCUGGGCUAAAGGCGUCAAGUCCUGACUUGCUCAAGUCCUGAUCAGCCCAAAGGCUGUUUCAUUGAAGCAUUAUGUAAUACAAAAAUGUGCCAUACCUCGUUAUAAGACUUGACGAUUGUCUCACAAUAUCGACAUUUCGUAAGCUAACGUAGUUGAUGUUCGAUCUAGAAGAAUUCAAUAUCGUUAGAGAUAUUUUACGAGUACUUCUAAACAUUUUUGCAGUACAUUAUUGAUGAUUUUAACCCGGGGAAAAUAUAAAAGUUACAAGGCGUUCCUUGUUGGAAAAGGUAGCCUCGCCUUUAUUGAAGCAGUCGACUGGGAAAUCCCUGGAAACGAAAGUGGAAUAAAAGGGAACAGAAAUGAGAGAAAUAAUGUAGAAAAACUAAACGCUCAUUUAUAAAUAAUUUAAAAAUUUGCUUAAAUUUCGAUAUAGAAUUUUUGUGUGUUUUUGCUGAGGCUGGUUAGGAAGUUAGAAGACCAUAAUUUGGGUAAUCUGUGGUGGCCUCGUCUCCACUAGAAAAAACCCUGAAAAAAACUUAUAUCAACCAAUGCAAUAUCUUUAUAAAUCCUACUCUUGAUUACACUGUAAUCUGGAUAGACUUAUUGUCGAAGUUUGUAAACGAAUUAAAAAUAUUCCAACAA